CAAACCCUUUGGAGUCAGUGCGUUUAUUAUUUUUUGGGAACAAACCCCAUGGAAUCUCUACCUUUUUUUUUGGGGGGAACAAACCCCACGGAAUACUUACAUUUAUUAUUUUUUGGGAACAAACCCCACGGAAUACUUACACUUAUUAUUUUUGGGAACAAACCCCAUGGAAUCUCUACCUUUUUUUUUGGGGGGAACAAACCCCACGGAAUACUUACAUUUAUUAUUUCUCGGGAACAAACCUCACGGAAUACUUACAUUUAUUACUUCUCGGGAACAAACCCCACGGAAUACUUACACUUAUAAUUUCCUAGGAACGAACCCCAUAGAAUCCGUUCACUUUGGAUUUUUUGGGGAGCACACCCCAUGGAAUCCGCGCAUUAACCCCCUACCACCAACACCCUACACCCACUUUUCCUCUAGGAAAAAAAAAAAUAAUAAAUCAAUAAAUCCCAUUCCCCCCAUCCCAAACCCUAAAGCCCCGCAUCCCCUUCCCAAGAGCGCAGCGGGUGCGGAGGGCGGGAGGCUCCGGGCUGCGGGGCCGGCCCGGAGUCUUCCAGCCCUAAAGAUGGAGCUGCUCGGCUCGGGGCCGCUCCCUCGCGGCCGCGCGGGAUCCGGCCUCCUCUCCCUUGCCCCUUUUCCUGCCCAUCCAUGUGGUUCUGUUUUGUAUUGUCCCGCUCGCCCGCACUCCGGCUUCCAGGGGAUUCGGAACCGCCACCAAAAAUAGUGCAAAGGCCCCGCGCCGCCGCUUUCUUUAUGCUGCACCUCUCGCCCUAAAAUCAGCCAUGCCCCGCAGGAAGGCGGCGGGGCCGCCCUGGGACGCAUUGUGCCC